rnacentral:rRNA from 1 species
AGGACGAACGCUUGCGACGUGCCUAAGAAAUGCAAGUCGAACGGGGAGCAAUCCCUAGUGGCGAACGGUCGCGUAACACGUGGGCAACCUGCCCUGAAGCGGGGGACAACAACUCGAAGAGUUGCUAAUACCGCAUGUGGAUCGCUCUGGCAUCAGAGAUUAUCCAAAGCCUUCGGGCACUUCAGGAUGGGCCCGCGGCCUAUCAGCUAGUUGGUGAGGUAACGGCCCACCAAGGCUUCGACGGGUAGCUGGUCUGAGAGGACGAUCAGCCGGAUUGGGACUGAGAUACGGCCCAGACUCCUACGGGGGGCAGCAAUUAGGAAUCUUGCACAAUGGGCGAAAGCCUGAUGCAGCGACGUCGCGUGGAGGAUGAAAUCUUUCGGGAUGUAAACUCCUUUUAUCGGGGAAGAAGAAUGUGACGGUACCCGAUGAAUAAGCCCCGGCUAACUACGUGCCAGCAGCCGC